UGCUCUCUCCCAUCCUCCAUGGACAUCUCAUUCUCCACCUGCGUGAGCCCUCUCAAUCUCCGCCACCGCGUAAUCCCGGAUAAUUAGAGAGGGCGCCGCCUUGCGCACGUCCAAUACAUGGCCUGGGCGGUUGCUAGAUGUGGACGCGAAGGCGUCGGAGUGGCGCUGGUGCUUGCGGAGGAGGCGCGCGGACGAGGUUACCUUCCGGCGGCAACGUCAUGGCGGACGGAAUCGUUACCAGAGGCGGCGGUGGUAUUCUUCUAAGCCGCUUGUGCUCUCGCUCCCCCCUCCCCCGCGCUCCUUGGGCGCAAGCCCUAGCCUCCUCUACGUCAGUUCUUGCGGCCAUUGCCCCGGGCAUCGCGGUUCGACCUGAGGAGCAGUGAAUCCAGGCUGCGAUUGGCAAAGAGUACCGGGACGGAGGUGCUCGAGGAGUAGGACGGCGAGCGAUGCCCCGCGCGCGCUAGAGUCCAGCCGCAUCGUCCGAGCCCAGCCACGCUCGCGGGGACAAUCACGCGAUGGAGAAUUUUUCCGAAUGGGCGAUAAGAUGAUUUCAGUUGCAUCUUGCUGUACCAAAUCUGUGUGGUCUGGUCUUCAAGUAGAGGUCUCCUGGAGAGUGGCAAUAGAGACCGUGGCCUCUCAUGGUUUCGUUUCUCUUCACCAUGCCCGCCAUAUUCUUCCGCACUUGGUUGAUUCCACCUCCUGUGUCUAACUCGAGGUGACCAGCUCUGUCCUAUCACACUGAUGCUCCGCCGGCGUGUAGAGCUGGCCGGCUCGGCCGCGCUCUGCAUUUGUGCCUCAUCUGGUCGAUUUCGCCUCUCGCGCAGCUGUUAGAUUAAUUGGUUUGGUUCAGUGGUUGCCUCUGCCCUGCGGCUGUUGCCGCACUUCAUCUGGACGGUCCAAUGUCUGUUCGUCGUUCUUGCCGCCUUGACAAUCAUUUUCUUUGCAUCGGGUUGCUUCCUUGCCCGUCCUUUUCUUUGCAUCAGGUUGCUUCCUUGCCUGUCGUUUGCAUCAGGUUGAACCAUUGAGGUGUUUUUUGGCAGCCCACUCUGUUUUGAUUGUCGACAUCACUGUCUGUUAAUGCUCCGCAUCAGCCAGCAGGUACUGCUUUCAGUUUAUAAACAAUUACUUAUCAUGUUUUUGUAACAUAAUGAUGGUAAACACUAAACAAUACGUUGGAAAUUCUUGAUCGACACUUUGCCUGCUGAUUAUAAAAAUAACAUUCCUAAUAUUAAUGGAAAAGGCCGAUUAGAAAAUUACAAUAAGAUAAUACAGGCUUUAACAAAAUCAGGACAGUUGUUUCUAUGCAAAAUUCAAUCCCUUUCCCAAUUAAUUAUUUACUUUUAUUUUCCCCGUAGCAGUUUUAAUAUGUGCAUGCAAUUUCAGUGUGCAGAUAGUUUGUAUGUUUUUUAUCCACCAAUGUGUCAAGUUGUUAAGGAAACCUUCCUCUGGUUUUCUGUAGAUUCUUUUAAAUGAAAAUGCUGACUCUAUUGACAUACAAACAUGUACAUUAGAUCAAACAUGAACACAUUUAAUUCCUUUCCUAAUAUACAAAUAUGCAAAAAAGAUCAACAGGAGGUGCAGUAGAUGUUCUUUUAUUCAGUUAGUUUUUUUUUAAAAUAAGGAAUUGAGAGAAAUGGGUUUUUGCAGAUGGUCCAUUUGUUUCAGUUUGUGAGUUGUUCCUACAUUGUGUAACCGAGAUUCAUGGCUCACAAUUUAUAUAUGAAAGAAGCAUCCAUGUGAUAUGAAUGCCAUACAAGGUCAUGUGUGUCAUGACUCAAAUGACAAAAUAACAGGUGUACUGAACAACUUUAGGCCGCAACUGUGGUUUUUUCCCAGUACAUCAUAGAGGUGCCCUUGCAAGAGUAAAAGAAAAUUCUACUGGCUUUUCCCAUGUCCCUUGGUUAGCUAUAAGAAACAAAUUUUGAUUUAUACUUCCUAAAUUGAACAUAUGUACUAUUUUCUCCAAUUACUUUUGGCCCAAUUCUACCAUACCCAAGGAAAGCAUGUUGUCAUUUUCAGUGAGAAGCUAAUUUAACUACUGUUAAGUGUCUUAUAAUGCUAAAGGAACACAUAAUGCCUCAGAAUCUGAUCUCCUAGCAUUUGUUCAACUUGUGUUGUUAUUUUUAUUGUUUACCUGAGCUAACCAUGUUCCACAAAAAUGCAUUAGUAAAGUUAAAAAAGUGCACCUGCCUACACUAAAUUUCUUAGAGAACUGUGUUCUCUCAAGUGUUCUAAGGCGAGCAACACAUGCAUUAAAGAUGAACCAUUUGGACUGCAACUAAACAUGUUUCUAUGGUUCAGCCCAUUCAUUUUUCUUCUUGAUUGAUUUUCUUAGUUAACUAAUUUGUACAGUUUCGAGGUGUUACAACACGUCAGGAAAUGCUGAUGUCGGUGCCUAAUGCCUCGGCAUAGAAUUUGGCAUUUCCUAGCUUAUUUUAGCCGUUUCAUUUUUUUGGAUUUUUUGUAAGAUGUUUACUACUCUUGCUUUAACAGUAUGCAAUCAGUAUCAAUCCAAUGGCAUGUGAGCUAUCAUUUUGUUCUUUAUGGUUCUUUGUGCUUGACAAUAUGUACUUUCUGAUAAAGUAAUAAUAAUGCAAGUGAAUUGAUGCAUUAAUAAUAAUGCAAGUGAAUUGAUGCAUUUUUGAGCAUUUGCAGUUUGGCCAUUUAUAUUUUCAUGAAGAAACAUUCAUUAUUUUUAGUGCAUAUUUUGUUGCCGUUUUUCCCCACCAAGGGAUGUGUGGAAAUAAUAUUGUUUCCACAUGGAGGAAUCAUUUCGUAAUCUUGAGGUAUUGUUCUUAACUGGACUUUAUAUUUGCUAAGCCUUCUGCUCAGAUUAUUUGCAUUUCCACUAUGUUGGAUUUAAUCUGUGUCUUCCAAUACGCGCCUUUCUAUACUAAAAAAUCAUACUUGCGAACAAGUGAAAAGUGCAAACAUGGGGAUUUCAUCGAUCAAGGAUGUGUCGGGCCCAAGCUACCAGUGCAAAGCCCUUUUGCUCAUUGCAUGCAUCUAGGAAUAAAAGGAUCAAGAAACACAUCAAAAUUUAUAUGAGUUGGACUUCACUUUGCUGGCCGUGAGGUAUUCCUACACAAAUCCAAACAUUUGAUUUACUUGAUCUCAUUUACCAAUGAGUUCAUAACGCUGCCUCAACUUAUUUACUCCUCUCUCUACAUAAAUUGCUUGAAUUAUCAGAAACAAUGGGUGGCCCAUCCUUUGCCUGCAAAUACACUGUAAUCCAGAUUUGAUGGACCACAACUUCGUCCAUGUUAUCCUCUGAUUUAUAUCACUAUAAUUUCAGGUUUGACAACAUUAUCAUAGAAAAAUUAAAGCAAAUAAUUUCUGCACCACAAAGAUAAUGCAAGAUAUUGAUUUACCGAAGCUUAUGUUUCCCCCAGUCCACACGAUUCAGAUCUAGCAUUAACCAAUAUAGUCAAGGUAUUUUCAUUUUCAUAUGUUUAUGCUUAAUGAUCAGCACCCAUUAAAAAAUAAAAUUCGUUUUCAUAUGUUUAUGCUUAAUGAUCAGCACCCAUUAAAAAAUAAAAUUCUACUGCUAUUCUACAACUCUUUGCUAGCAAGCUCAAUUGUGAAAGUCAGGCUGCUAAAUUUCAUCCGAGACAUGGAAUACCUCCCAAGGAUAUUCGCCGGAAUAGAGGAGGUGAAGCAGAGAAAAGGUAGGCAAGAAAGAAGGAUAAUUUAGUAGAUAAUUAUCCCCAACUAAAUUUGGUCAUCCUCAAGCAAGCUAGGUAAAUCUAUGUCCAAGGGCACAAAUAAUUGAUUCUCUGAACUAAAAUCGACACUUAUUUUUUUCUGGUGUCAUGAUUUUAUUUCAAAAAGGGGAAACAUAAAAUUAGAAGGGGAAAGAAAAGAACCUCAAAUUUAUGCUAUAUGGAUGAAGCUAAGAACUCAUGUAGCUACCGUUGUUCUCUAUAGUAACAUUUUCCUUACAUAUGUGUUGAAGAAUGAAUAGUUCAGAAAUGAAGUAGAACAUACUAUUUUGAGAUCAACCAAGAGGAAGUUGUAGCUUUAGUUUCAGCUAUAGUAGUGGGGGUGUAUGAUCUGAGCUUAUUACAUGCUAAUUAACAAUUUUUCUUCCAUACUAAUAUCUGAAAAUAUAAUAAGCGUGCUCUGAAUUUAGAACUGAUGUGGUGCUCCUGUAUAGUGAAAUGCUUGCAUAUAUGGUGUUGGUUUUGGUGUUUUGAAUCUGGGCUUUGUAGGUUCAGUCGUCCCCGUGGCAGUUGUGGUCGACGGACCACGAUGAAGGCGACAACGUCUUCCCGGCCGCGGUGAAUGGGCAUGGUUUUGUCCUCCUUGGUGCCUGUCAUAAGUCGAGUUCUCUAUCCUGGCGACGAGGAGGGGCGCCCGAGCUGCGGAUGGCCAGGAGCAGUGUGUUGCUAGAUAGUUCCGUUAUGUAUAGCCAGAGGACCACGAAAGAUACAUAAGAUUGCACACUAGAAGGUAUAAUCACCCCUUCUAUAUUUAUUACUUAUGCUAAUUUAUUCAGUAGAGAUUUUGACCAGAUAUAAAGUACCUGCCAGCAACAU